UACAUAGGGGGCAAGCGUUAUCCGGAAUUAUUGGGUGUAAAGGGUGCGUAGACGGAGAAACAAGUUGGUUGUGAAAUCCCUCGGCUCAACCGAGGAACUGCAACCAAAACUAUUUCCCUUGAGUGUCGGAGAGGAAAGUGGAAUUCCUAGUGUAGCGGUGAAAUGCGUAGAUAUUAGGAGGAACACCAGUGGCGGAGGCGACUUUCUGGACGAUAACUGACGUUGAGGCACGAAAGUGUGGGGAGCAAACAGG
rnacentral:rRNA from 1 species